AGGACACCAGAACUGCACACAGUACUCCAGGUGGGGUCUCACCCAAGAGUAGAGCUGAGGGACAGAAUCACCUCCAUCAACCUGCUUGUCACCCUCCUU